rnacentral:rRNA from 1 species
AGGAUCAUUACAGUGAAUUGGGUUGUCGCUCAAAGCAGCACGCCCUCCAUAUUACACAUACACCUUGUGCACCUCAUCUUAUUACAGCCUGUCUCUAAGCAUGUCUUGAUAAUUCUACGGAAUAGAAUACAACUUUCAACAACGGAUCUCUUGGCUUUCGCAUCGAUGAAGGACGCCGCGAAAGUGCGAAACGUAAUGUGAAUUGCAGAAUUCAGUGAAUCAUCGAAUCUUUGAACGCAUCUUGCGCUCCUUGGUAUUCCGAGGAGCAUGCCUGUUUGAGUGUCGUGAAAUCACCCUCAAUCCCACUCUUCUGUGGGUUUGGAUUUGGAUGCUUGCCGUGACUUCCUUUUCGGCUCAUCUUGAAAUGUAUUAGCUGGUCUGCCUUACAUGAGUUUGGUGGGUGUGAUAAGAAACACUUGUAGCGCCAUUUCUAAACUCGGGGGGCUUGGCUGCUUUUUGAAUCCCACGUCGUUUGACCUCAAAUCAGGUAGGACUACCCGCUGAACUUAAGCAUAUCAAUAAGCGGAGGAAAAGAAACUAACAAGGAUUCCCCUAGUAACGGCGAGUGAAGCGGGAAGAGCUCAAAUUUGUAAUCUGGCAGUCCCUUGGCUGUCCGAGUUGUAAUCUGGAGAAGUGUUUUCUGUGUCGGACCGUGUACAAGUCCCUUGGAAUAGGGCGUCAUAGAGGGUGAGAAUCCCGUCUUUGACACGGACUCCCGGUGCUUUGUGAUGCGCUCUCGAAGAGUCGAGUUGUUUGGGAAUGCAGCUCAAAAUGGGUGGUAAAUUCCAUCUAAAGCUAAAUAUGGGCGAAAGACCGAUAGCGAACAAGUACCGUGAGGGAAAGAUGAAAAGCACUUUGGAAAGAGAGUUAAACAGUACGUGAAAUUGUUGAAAGGGAAACGCUUGAAGUCAGUCGCGUCUCUUGGGACUCAGCCCCGCUUUUCUUGCAGGGUGCAUUUCCUGGGCUGACGGGCCAGCAUCGAUUUCAGUCACUGGAGAAAGGCAAGGGGGAAUGUGGCACCUCUUUAUGGUGUGUUAUAGCCCCCGGUCGUAUGCAGUGACAGGGAUCGAGGAUCGCAGCAUGCCUCUAAUGGCCGGGGUCGCC